rnacentral:tRNA from 1 species
GGCGAGUUCGGCCGGCAUCUUGCCCGGCUCUCGCCCGGUCCCCGAGCAUCGAGGCGGCGAGCAACCCGCCGGCCCGUCG